rnacentral:lncRNA from 1 species
UGUGAUUUCCUAGAGUUCAAAAAAGCAGAAAUCCGUUGCUUUAUCAUUAGCAGAAGUAGAGUAUAUCGCAGCUACAGAUUUGUCUUGUGAAGCUCUUUGGCUUAGAGGAAUUUUGGAAGAUUUGAAAUUUGAGCAGGAAGGACCAACAACAAUUUAUUGGGACAAUAUGUCAAACAAUUGCGAUGACAAAAAAUCUAGUCUUUCAUGCUUGGUCAAAACAUAUUGAGCUUCGACAUCACUUUAUAAGAGAUUUGGUAAAUCAAGAAGAAAUAUGCAUGGAGUUUAUAAAUACCAACGAUCAACCGGCUGAUAUGAUGAUGAAGCCAAUGACAAUUGAUAAGUUCGAGAAAUUCAAGAAGCAUUUGAAGAUUACAAAUUAAGAGGGGGUGUUAAAAGGAUAAUUUGUAAUCUAUCUUCAACUAAUCCAAAUCCAAAUUGGAAACUUCAACAACAAAGGAAGAUUCAAAGAGUUCAAAUUCAGAUUGAACACUUCAACCUUCAAAGGCUUGAUUCAUUGAAUGGUCAAAUGGAUAAGGUUUUCAAUUCAAGUUGUACACUCAACUUAUGCAAGCUAUAGAUGAACAUAGGCAGCAAUCUGAUGUUCACUAACAAUAGUAAUUUGGAAAUUACAUGAUGGAGCAGCCAUUUGACACUUCUCAUGUUCAAACACAGCUGUAAUUGAAG